rnacentral:rRNA from 1 species
CCGUACACAAAAAUGCACAUACUGUGAGCUCGAUGAGUAGGGCGGGACACGUGGUAUCCUGUCUGAAUAUGGGGGGACCAUCCUCCAAGGCUAAAUACUCCUGACUGACCGAUAGUGAACCAGUACCGUGAGGGAAAGGCGAAAAGAACCCCGGCGAGGGGAGUGAAAAAGAACCUGAAACCGUGUACGUACAAGCAGUGGGAGCCUCUUUUAUGGGGUGACUGCGUACCUUUUGU